CUACGGGCGGCUGCAGUGGGGAAUAUUGCACAAUGGGCGAAAGCCUGAUGCAGCAACGCCGCGUGAGGGACGACGGCCUUCGGGUUGUAAACCUCUUUUAGCAGGGAAGAAGCGAAAGUGACGGUACCUGCAGAAAAAGCACCGGCUAACUACGUGCCAGCAGCCGCGGUAAUACGUAGGGUGCAAGCGUUGUCCGGAAUUAUUGGGCGUAAAGAGCUCGUAGGCGGUUUGUCGCGUCUGCGGUGAAAAUCCGAGGCUCAACCUCGGACCUGCAGUGGGUACGGGCAAACUAGAGUGCGGUAGGGGAGAGUGGAAUUCCUGGUGUAGCGGUGGAAUGCGCAGAUAUCAGGAGGAACACCAAUGGCGAAGGCAGAUCUCUGGGCCGUAACUGACGCUGAGGAGCGAAAGCGUGGGGAGCGAACAGGAUUAGAUACCCGAGUAGUC
rnacentral:rRNA from 1 species